rnacentral:rRNA from 1 species
GACGAACGCUGGCGGCGUGCUUAACACAUGCAAGUCGAACGGAAAGGCCCUGCUUUUGUGGGGUGCUCGAGUGGCGAACGGGUGAGUAACACGUGAGUAACCUGCCCUUGACUUUGGGAUAACUUCAGGAAACUGGGGCUAAUACCGGAUAGGAGCUCCUGCUGCAUGGUGGGGGCUGGAUAGUUUCGGCGGUUGGGGAUGGACUCGCGGCUUAUCAGCUUGUUGGUGGGGUAGUGGCUUACCAAGGCCUUGACGGGUAGCCGGCCUGAGAGGGUGACCGGCCCCAUUAGGACUGGGAUACGACCCAGACCCCUACGGGAGGCAGCGGUGAGGAAGAUUACAUAGGGGGCGGGGGCCUGAUGCAGCAACGCCGCGUGCGGGAUGACGGCCUUGGGGUUGUGAACCGCUUUCGCCUGUGACGAAGCGUGAGUGACGGUAAUGGGUGAAGAAGCACCGGCUAACUACGUG